GAUGAACGCUAGCGGCAGGCUUAACACAUGCAAGUCGAGGGGUAUUGGUUUUCGGACCAAGAGACCGGCGCACGGGUGCGUAACGCGUAUGCAAUCUACCUUUUGCAGAGGGAUAGCCCAGAGAAAUUUGGAUUAAUACCUCAUAGUAUAGUACUUUGGCAUCAAGGAACUAUUAAAGUCACAACGGCAAAAGAUGAGCAUGCGUCCCAUUAGCUAGUUGGUAAGGUAACGGCUUACCAAGGCUACGAUGGGUAGGGUCCUGAGAGGGAGAUCCCCCANACUGGUACUGAGACACGGACCAGACUCCUACGGGAGGCAGCAGUGAGGAAUAUUGGACAAUGGGCGCAAGCCUGAUCCAGCCAUGCCGCGUGUGUGAAGAAGGCC
rnacentral:rRNA from 1 species